UGCUUAACACAUGCAAGUCGUACGAGAAAGAGGUAGCAAUACUUCAAGUAAAGUGGCGCACGGGGGAGUAACACGUAAGUAACCCGCCUUUAGGUCUGGGAUAACUCCGAGAAAUCGAAGCUAAUACCGGAUGAUGCAGCGGAUCCACAUGGAUAUGUUGUUAAAAUCUAUAUGGUGCCUAAAGAUGGGCUUGCGUCCGAUUAGCUAGUUGGUAGGGUAACGGCCUACCAAGGCUGCGAUCGGUAGCUGGUCUGAGAGGAUGAUCAGCCACACUGGAACUGAGACACGGUCCAGACUCCUACGGGAGGCAGCAGUGAGGAAUAUUGGGCAAUGCCCGGAAGGGUGACCCAGCAACGCCGCGUGGAGGAUGAAUGCCGUAAGGUUGUAAACUCC
rnacentral:rRNA from 1 species